AUAAGUGAAUAGUGAAUCUGGUGGCUCAACCAUACAGGCUAUUGUUCAAACUGGCAAACUCGAGAGUGGUAGAGGUCACUGGAAUUUCUUGUGUAGGAGUGAAAUCCGUAGAUAUAAGAAGGAACACCGAUGGCGUAGGCAGGUGACUGGACCAUUUCUGACGCUAAAGGCACGAAAGCGUGGGGAGCGAACCGGAUUAGAUACCCGGGUAGUCCACGCCGUAAACGAUGGAUACUA
rnacentral:rRNA from 1 species